rnacentral:rRNA from 1 species
UAAUACGGAGGGUGCGAGCGUUAUCCGGAAUCACUGGGCGUAAAGGGCGCGUAGGCGGUUUGUUAAGUCUGAUGUUAAAGACUGGGGCUCAACCCCGGCAUGGCGUUGGAUACUGGCAGGCUUGACGGUUGGAGAGGCGAGUGGAAUUGCCAGUGUAGCGGUGGAAUGCGUAGAUACUGGUAGGAACACCUAUUGCGAAGGCAGCUCGCUGGACAAUUCGUGACGCUGAGGCGCGAAAGUGUGGGGAGCAAACCGG